rnacentral:rRNA from 1 species
CGUGAGUGAUGAAGGACUUCGGUUCGUAAAGCUCUGUUGCAGGGGAAAAAUAAAGUGAUGGUACUCUGCAAGAAAGGGUCGGCUAACCUUCGCGC